UCGAACGAGAAAGCGGGGGCAACCCCGUGAGUAAAGUGGCGACCGGGUGAGUAACACGUGACUAACCUACCUUCCAAUGGGGAAUAACCUCGGGAAACCGGGGCUAAUACCGCAUAACAUCGCAGCCGUAAGGGCGGCGAUCAAAGCAGCAAUGCGUUGGCAGAGGGGGUCGCGGCUGAUUAGCUAGUUGGUGAGGUAAUGGCUCACCAAGGCAGUGAUCAGUAUCCGGCCUGAGAGGGCGCACGGACACACUGGAACUGAAACACGGUCCAGACUCCUACGGGAGGCAGCAGUGGGGAAUUUUGCGCAAUGGGGGAAACCCUGACGCAGCAACGCCGCGUGGAGGAUGAAGUCCCUUGGGACGUAAACUCCUUUCGAACGGGACGAUAAUGACGGUACCGUAUGAAGAAGCCCCGGCUAACUUCGUGCCAGCAGCCGCGGUAAUACGAGGGGGGCAAGCGUUGUUCGGAAUUAUUGGGCGUAAAGGGUGCGUAGGCGGCGCGGUAUGUCUCUUGUGAAAUCUCCAGGCUCAACUUGGAGUCUGCAAGGGAAACUGCCGUGCUUGAGUACUGGAGAGGUGAGUGGAAUUCCCGGUGUAGCGGUGAAAUGCGUAGAUAUCGGGAGGAACACCUGUGGCGAAAGCGGCUCACUGGACAGUAACUGACGCUGAUGCACGAAAGCUAGGGGAGCAAACAGGAUUAGAUACCCUGGUAGUCCUAGCCCUAAACGAUGGAUGCUUGGUGUGAUCGGUACCCAAUCCGAUCGUGCCGGAGCUAACGCGUUAAGCAUCCCGCCUGGGGAGUACGGUCGCAAGGCUGA
rnacentral:rRNA from 1 species